UUCUUAGUAGCUCAAUUGGUAGAGCACAUCAAUAGUAUUUCAAUAUACUUAACGAGCCCUAUUAAUGACGAGGUUAGUCGUUCAAAUCGACUAUAAGGAA